AUGGAGGUGAAGGCUCGCUCCUCACUGAGGACGCUUUACGACAGCGGCCUAGAGAGCCCGCUGGCUGGUUCCGACGACGGCCCCGCCAAGCUGCUUCCCUUCCUGGUUCGCGCUCUUGAAGAUGUCGCCCUUGGCCUUGGCCCCACAGCGGAGGCCGAGGCGCGUGUCCUGUCUUCUGCAACACUGACGCGGGUGCUCACCCACAUCUACCUUCGCGAUCCCGACGUCGACCUUGACGGCCUGCUGGAGCCAGUAAGCGGCGAGCGUGCCGCUGCCGCUGCCGAGGCCGUGAAGGGUCGCGCGGAGGUUCUGCUGGGGAAGUUCCGGGCCUUUCGCACCAAGCCGAGGGAAGGCGCUGCCGACCCUGCUGCUCCAUGA
rnacentral:rRNA from 1 species